CAGGAACACGCGAACGUGUGCCCCUUCUUCGAGGUGCCCUGCCCGCUAGGCAAGUGCAAGGAGAGGAUGAUGAGGAAGGACAUCCCCGACCACCUCAGCUGGAAGUGUAAACACCGGGAGAGCACCUGCGACUUUUGCCACACCAAGAUGGCGCUCACCGACCUGCAGAAACACAAGGAGACGGUGUGUCCGGCCUUCCCGGUGUCGUGUCCGAACCUUUGCUCCUUCUCGUCGCUGCCGCGGAGCGAG